AAAAUGGCACAGUAAAAAGAGCUUGGGAUUUGGAAACUUGCAGUCCUGAGUUUGAAUCUUUGCCCCAUUGUUUAAUAGCUCUGAAUAAUGAUAGUUACUACUUAUUGAGGAUUUACUCCAUGUCAGGCACAUGUUUUAUUUCAUUUAACCUCCACAAUUACCCUAUGAAAAAAGUUACUAUCAUUCUUCCCAAUUUACAAAGAAGAAACAGAGGCACAAGAGAGGUGAAGGAACUUGCCCAAAGUCACACAGCUAGAAAUGGGGAUAGGAGAAUGGUGGCUGAAUUCAUACCCAACUAGUCUGGCUUCAGAGAAUGUGUGAACAUGGACAAGUUUUAUCCUUUCUGACCCAGGUUUUCAUCUCUAACAUCAAUAUAAUGAUUCCUAUGUUGCAAGAUUGAAAGCAAAAUGAAAUUCCUGAAGACUCCCUGACAUGUAGUACAUGCACAAGAAGUAAUAGCUAUUAUUAUUUUGUUUAAAUGAAUUAAUAACAAUAGAAUCUCAUUUUCACACAACUGAGAAUAUGGUGUGAGUUGUCUCACGCCUUACCACAGAGGAUUGUUCUAUAAUAUAUGAUAUAUCAGAAAUAAUACAGAAGUCAGAGUCAGAGAAGCCACCUCUGUGUGCUGUGGGGUAAGAACUGUGUGACCCUAGACAAGGUACUCAGGUGCUCCAGGCUUCAUGUCAUCAACUAAGUAAUGCAGGGCUGGACCACUUUAUCCCUGAGGUCCCAUUCCAGCUAACAGACCUGAGUAUAGAUUCUGUUCCUGGUUCCCAUCAAGAUGGGCCCUAGAUAUAAAUUUCUCUUUACUGUGUUUGCCUCUCCAUUCUUAUGAGUGCUAAGCCCUCAUAAGCCUUUUGAAAAAUAUUCAUUCAGUGAAGGAACUUAGGACACUUAAGAGAACAUCUCAUCCUUCAAAUAUAAGAACAUUAGCAUGUUUAUGUUCUUGAUGCUCUUUAGACUUGUGAACUAUAAUACUAAAAACAACAUUGAAGAACUUAAACAGUUACUGUAAUGAAAAUCCACAGUUUACUCCCCAGCUUUGUCCAGCCAUGUGAGGGAACAAUAUGCUUGUCCUCUUAUGUUUGCUACUGGCUUUUCAGUUAUAGAUUUAAUUCAGAGUUUAAUGUAAUUCAGAGUCAUGAAAAAAACACCACCACCACCACCACCAUUUUGUUGUAUCUGACUACAUGCCAUAUUGCAUGGAGAACUUUUAGACUAUUUUCCUGAAAUUCCCCAAAGUCAUGAAAUAACAGUCUUACCAGACGGUGAUAAACUGGGAUUAUCAGCAUUGUCUUCAAAGGAUGUAGCCAAAACAACGUGAAGAUGAAUGACAAGGAAUAUCUUGAAUAUCAGUAAAAGUUCUUCAGGUCUGCCAACAUGGCCACACUGCCCGCCAGAGAAAAACAUCCUGGAAUAAA